rnacentral:rRNA from 1 species
AACGAACGCUGGCGGCGUGCUUAACACAUGCAAGUCGAGCGGAAAGGCCCCUUCGGGGGUACUCGAGCGGCGAACGGGUGAGUAACACGUGAGUAAUCUGCCCCUGGCCUUGGGAUAACCACCGGAAACGGUGGCUAAUACCGGAUAUGACCACUCCCGGCAUCGGGGGUGGUGGAAAGUUUUUUCGGCCCGGGCUGUGCUCCAGGCCUAUCAGCGUUGUUGGUGGGGUAAUGGCUUACCAAGGCUUCGACGGGUACCCGGCCUGAGAGGGUGACCAGCAACACUGGGACUGAGACACGGCCCAUACUCCUACGGGGGGCAGCAGUGAGGAAUAUUGGACAAUGGGCGGAAGCCUGAUCCAGCAACGCCGCGUGAGGGAUGACGGCCUUCGGGUUGUAAACCUCUUUCAGCGGGGACGAAGCGCCGAUGAUGGUGGUGACGGUACCCGCAGAAGAAGCACCGGCCAACUACGUGCCAGCCGCCGCGGUAAAAC